rnacentral:rRNA from 1 species
GGGUUGUGAGGUUAAGCGACUAAGCGUACACGGUGGAUGCCCUGGCAGUCAGAGGCGAUGAAGGACGUGCUAAUCUGCGAUAAGCGUCGGUAAGGUGAUAUGAACCGUUAUAACCGGCGAUUUCCGAAUGGGGAAACCCAGUGUGAUUCGUCACACUAUCAUUAACUGAAUCCAUAGGUUAAUGAGGCGAACCGGGGGAACUGAAACAUCUAAGUACCCCGAGGAAAAGAAAUCAACCGAGAUUCCCCCAGUAGCGGCGAGCGAACGGGGAGCAGCCCAGAGCCUGAAUCAGUGUGUGUGUUAGUGGAAGCGUCUGGAAAGGCGCGCGAUACAGGGUGACAGCCCCGUACACAAAAAUGCACAUACUGUGAGCUCGAUGAGUAGGGCGGGACACGUGGUAUCCUGUCUGAAUAUGGGGGGACCAUCCUCCAAGGCUAAAUACUCCUGACUGACCGAUAGUGAACCAGUACCGUGAGGGAAAGGCGAAAAGAACCCCGGCGAGGGGAGUGAAAAAGAACCUGAAACCGUGUACGUACAAGCAGUGGGAGCACAGAGCAAUCUGUGUGACUGCGUACCUUUUGUAUAAUGGGUCAGCGACUUAUAUUCUGUAGCAAGGUUAACCGAAUAGGGGAGCCGAAGGGAAACCGAGUCUUAACUGGGCGUUAAGUUGCAGGGUAUAGACCCGAAACCCGGUGAUCUAGCCAUGGGCAGGUUGAAGGUUGGGUAACACUAACUGGAGGACCGAACCGACUAAUGUUGAAAAAUUAGCGGAUGACUUGUGGCUGGGGGUGAAAGGCCAAUCAAACCGGGAGAUAGCUGGUUCUCCCCGAAAGCUAUUUAGGUAGCGCCUCGUGAAUUCAUCUCCGGGGGUAGAGCACUGUUUCGGCAAGGGGGUCAUCCCGACUUACCAACCCGAUGCAAACUGCGAAUACCGGAGAAUGUUAUCACGGGAGACACACGGCGGGUGCUAACGUCCGUCGUGAAGAGGGAAACAACCCAGACCGCCAGCUAAGGUCCCAAAGUCAUGGUUAAGUGGGAAACGAUGUGGGAAGGCCCAGACAGCCAGGAUGUUGGCUUAGAAGCAGCCAUCAUUUAAAGAAAGCGUAAUAGCUCACUGGUCGAGUCGGCCUGCGCGGAAGAUGUAACGGGGCUAAACCAUGCACCGAAGCUGCGGCAGCGACGCUUAUGCGUUGUUGGGUAGGGGAGCGUUCUGUAAGCCUGCGAAGGUGUGCUGUGAGGCAUGCUGGAGGUAUCAGAAGUGCGAAUGCUGACAUAAGUAACGAUAAAGCGGGUGAAAAGCCCGCUCGCCGGAAGACCAAGGGUUCCUGUCCAACGUUAAUCGGGGCAGGGUGAGUCGACCCCUAAGGCGAGGCCGAAAGGCGUAGUCGAUGGGAAACAGGUUAAUAUUCCUGUACUUGGUGUUACUGCGAAGGGGGGACGGAGAAGGCUAUGUUGGCCGGGCGACGGUUGUCCCGGUUUAAGCGUGUAGGCUGGUUUUCCAGGCAAAUCCGGAAAAUCAAGGCUGAGGCGUGAUGACGAGGCACUACGGUGCUGAAGCAACAAAUGCCCUGCUUCCAGGAAAAGCCUCUAAGCAUCAGGUAACAUCAAAUCGUACCCCAAACCGACACAGGUGGUCAGGUAGAGAAUACCAAGGCGCUUGAGAGAACUCGGGUGAAGGAACUAGGCAAAAUGGUGCCGUAACUUCGGGAGAAGGCACGCUGAUAUGUAGGUGAAGUCCCUCGCGGAUGGAGCUGAAAUCAGUCGAAGAUACCAGCUGGCUGCAACUGUUUAUUAAAAACACAGCACUGUGCAAACACGAAAGUGGACGUAUACGGUGUGACGCCUGCCCGGUGCCGGAAGGUUAAUUGAUGGGGUUAGCGCAAGCGAAGCUCUUGAUCGAAGCCCCGGUAAACGGCGGCCGUAACUAUAACGGUCCUAAGGUAGCGAAAUUCCUUGUCGGGUAAGUUCCGACCUGCACGAAUGGCGUAAUGAUGGCCAGGCUGUCUCCACCCGAGACUCAGUGAAAUUGAACUCGCUGUGAAGAUGCAGUGUACCCGCGGCAAGACGGAAAGACCCCGUGAACCUUUACUAUAGCUUGACACUGAACAUUGAGCCUUGAUGUGUAGGAUAGGUGGGAGGCUUUGAAGUGUGGACGCCAGUCUGCAUGGAGCCGACCUUGAAAUACCACCCUUUAAUGUUUGAUGUUCUAACGUUGACCCGUAAUCCGGGUUGCGGACAGUGUCUGGUGGGUAGUUUGACUGGGGCGGUCUCCUCCUAAAGAGUAACGGAGGAGCACGAAGGUUGGCUAAUCCUGGUCGGACAUCAGGAGGUUAGUGCAAUGGCAUAAGCCAGCUUGACUGCGAGCGUGACGGCGCGAGCAGGUGCGAAAGCAGGUCAUAGUGAUCCGGUGGUUCUGAAUGGAAGGGCCAUCGCUCAACGGAUAAAAGGUACUCCGGGGAUAACAGGCUGAUACCGCCCAAGAGUUCAUAUCGACGGCGGUGUUUGGCACCUCGAUGUCGGCUCAUCACAUCCUGGGGCUGAAGUAGGUCCCAAGGGUAUGGCUGUUCGCCAUUUAAAGUGGUACGCGAGCUGGGUUUAGAACGUCGUGAGACAGUUCGGUCCCUAUCUGCCGUGGGCGCUGGAGAAUUGAGGGGGGCUGCUCCUAGUACGAGAGGACCGGAGUGGACGCAUCACUGGUGUUCGGGUUGUCAUGCCAAUGGCACUGCCCGGUAGCUAAAUGCGGAAGAGAUAAGUGCUGAAAGCAUCUAAGCACGAAACUUGCCCCGAGAUGAGUUCUCCCUGACUCCUUGAGAGUCCUGAAGGAACGUUGAAGACGACGACGUUGAUAGGCCGGGUGUGUAAGCGCAGCGAUGCGUUGAGCUAACCGGUACUAAUGAACCGUGAGGCUUAACCUUACAACGCCGAAGCUGUU